GACGAACGCUGGCGGCGUGCUUAACACAUGCAAGUCGAACGAAGUGGCGAACGGGUGAGUAACGCGUAAUCAACCUGCCCUUCAGAGGGGGACAACAGUUGGAAACGACUGCUACUACCGCAUACUGAAGGAGGGGAUUGCGUCUGAUUAGCUAGUUGGAGGGGUAACGGCCCUCCAAGGCGAUGAUCAGUAGCCGGUCUGAGAGGAUGAACGGCUACAUUGGGACUGAGACACGGCCCAGACUCCUACGGGAGGCAGCAGUGGGGAAUCUUCCGCAAUGGACGAAAGUCUGACGAUGCAACGCGUCGUGAGUGAUGACGGCCCUCGGGUUUUAAAGCUCUGUUAAUCGGGACGCGGUACCGGGAUAGAAAGCCACGGCUAACUACGUGCCAGCAGCCGCGGUAAUUC
rnacentral:rRNA from 1 species